rnacentral:lncRNA from 1 species
ACGAUUUUGUGGGUUAGAAGUAACAAAACCAACGUAGAGAGUACCCUCCAAAACUAUAAGAAUCUCAGUACCUCUUGGAUGAGUAUGUGGAGGAUUUAGUCCCCUAGGUACCAAAACUAUAAGAAUCUCAGUACCUCUUGGAUGAGUAUGUGGAGGAUUUAGUCCCCUAGGUGCAAAGUCAAUGCGAGCAAGAGAAAUACCAAGAGUGUUUAAUCCUAAUAUCUCAUUAACAGUAACCGGUGUCACUUUUGAGCCAAGUGAAUUCGACGUGUUUCCUUCUUUCACUGAGAAAAAGAAAUCAUUUGCAGUGGCCAGUUUUGGAUCUUUGCAGAAUUUUCCAUUAACAAACACUGCAAAUCAAAUAUGAGUCAUUCUAAUAAAAUGUCUAUUGUUAAUGAGCAGAAAAAACAUUAUUAUAUAUACAUACCACCAUUCUUUGUGUCAUUGAUAGCUACACAAAAAUCUUGUAGAGGACUGGGAUCGAAUGCUAAGGCACAAGAUGCUAAGGCCAAGAAGGCUGUAAAAAUCAAGUAACUACUCUUCAUACUGAUGUGUUUGUUUGUGUGUUGUAUAUUUGCUUCUGUAUGUUUAUGAAUGAUGAGAUUUUGGAGACAUAGGAAGAGACUAUUUAUAACAAGUUUAGACAUUGAAGUAUUCCAUAUAUUUACUUAUAAAAUACAUUUAAAGACCAAGUAUGUAUAUUUGCUUCUGUAUGUUUAUGAAUGAUGAGAUUUUGGAGACAUAGGAAGAGACUAUUUAUAACAAGUUUAGACAUUGAAGUAUUCCAUAUAUUUACUUAUAAAAUACAUUUAAAGACCAAGUAAAAAUAAGCCUUUUUUAAUUAGUAAGAUAUAUGUUCAAUUAAUCUUUAACUACUACAUGCUACUUAUUCUUCUAAUGAAUAACUUGUCACACGCGCUACAGAGAUGAUUAAUUGAAUAUACGAGGUUUUUGUCCAUGAUGAUGAUCUAACAAGUUGAAAUUGUAUUAAAGAGUUAGUAUUUAGUAUAAUUGUGUUUGGUUAUAAGGUGAUAAAAUUUGAGGUUGUUUAAAAGUGAGUUAAAAUAAAAUGAUAUUUAAAUAUUUUAAUUCAACAAAAAAGUUGAAUAAUAAAUUUGAAUAGUGUCACAUCUCGAAAAAAAUACGAUGUUCACGAAGUGCGUCGCACGCUCGCGGAAUGACUAAUAGAGUCGCCACUAAAAUUUAUUUAUUUUAAAAGGGAAAGGAAAAAUAUUGAUAAAACCCCUAAAAAGAACGACAAUGAUAUGGUCGUCGCAACCAAAUCAGGUUUGGGAGUCGAUUACGCAAGUGAAAAGUAUUAGCACCCCUCAUGUCCGUUGUACUCAAUGAGAACCAUUUAGUUAGUUUGUGCAUAAGUGUUAGCUUUUGAAAUGUUUGACUUUCUUCAAGUUAUUUAAAAGAGAAAAAGAAAAAGAAAAAUGGUCGCAAAAACUUUUUUAUUAAUGUGCUUGACAAGAUUGUGGGUCUUGCUGCUAAGUAUCUCCGGGUACGAUAGAGAACUCAAGGUUACGUAAUUUUGGGUAGAAAAUGUUUGUUUGUUGUUCGGUUUUAGCGAAAGCUAUUUUGCCACAAUCGAUGGAAAAACAUUGUUUACCCCAAACAAUUAGAGGAGUGGGCGUUUGCAUCACAUUGAAUGAAUUUCUAUAUAUCAACAUUCACGAAAAAACGUCACUUAUCUACUCACACAUGUGUGAACGAAGCAUUGUUUUGCAUCGUCUCGAGACGAAACAUCUUUUGUUUUUGAAAAGGGCUAUCGAUCGUGUGGCGGCGAGGAAAGACAAGUUUGAUUGAUUGGACUGUUUUUGGAUUGGAAUACGAGUAUUUAUGACUUGUAAGCUCUUACUACUGAGCCUAAUAGUCGGGACUACGACCAAACCUUACACCUAGGUAGUCUUUUUCAUCUAAUUUUGUUAUGAAAGAUUUUAAUAUUUACAAUUUUUUUUAGGGGAAGACGAACACUUGUGGCUUGCAAGCUCUUACAACUUGGGCCUAGUAUUUGAGACUAUGACUGGACCUUACACCAAUGUAGUCUCUUUCUUCUAAUUUAUUGCGAAAGGGAGACAUGUUUAAAUUUUAAGAAAAGACAAUGAUUUAUGACUUGCAAGCUCUUACAACUUGAGUAUAAUACUCAGAACUAUGAGUGGACCUUACACCCAAGUAGUCUUUUUCUUCCAUUAUUUGAAAAUGGUCAAAGUUGUUUAAGUUAGUCAUUUUUGGUUUUGUUUUUGUAAAAAAAAAAUGGCUUGAUGUUGGGUCAAACAUUUUUAUUGCGUUGCGAGAUAAAUUAUGAAAAUGAUUGAUGUUGAAAUGGAAAUGAUUUGAAAUUUAAAUUGAACUAGUAAAGGACAUGUGCAUUCGCAUGGGUCACGCUAUGUCUAAUUAUUUGUGAAGUUGUUAGAUUAUUUGUAUUCUAUAUUUGAAUGUUCAAUUACGGAAAUACAACGAUACAUUUAUAUUAUUAUGUGAAGGAACUUUUGAUAUUAAAUAAACCAAAUAAAACAGAAGAAAAAGUUAUAUAUCCAACUUUUUCAAUUUCAAUAGCUGUAAAAGGAACUGAAAAAUGUCAGUAGAUUUAGAAGUAUUAUCAAGUCAAAGUAACGCAUCAUCUACUUUCUUAAAAGAGUUUUGAUCACACGGGGGUGACAAGUUAAAUUAAUAUGUUGGAUGUUUGGUUUGAUUGGUUUCGAUUGUACGGGGCGAGAAAAAUAUAUGUUUGAUGUGUUGAGAUAUUUUGUUGGAUGAUGAUUAUUUGGAUAGUCGAGUAAGGCAACUCGUAUCCAAAUAAUCGAGAAGAUGAGUCGAAGGCUCAAAACCAUCUCCCUUUUCAUCCUUAAUUAUAAAAGGGUUUGAUAAUAGUUAAUGUGUUUCAAAUGGAUGACGAAUACUAAAAUGGUCGAGUAAGAGAACUCGUAUCCAAGUACUCGGGAAAGGGAAUAGAAGACUCUAGACAACUUUCUUUUUCAUCUAAGUUGUUAUGAAAAUAAGUUUAUGUAUGGUUGAUGUUUUUAGAUAAACGAUAAUUACUUGAAUAACUGGGUAAGAUAACUCAUAUCCAAAUAUUUGAGGAGAGAAAUCGAAGGCUCUAGACCAUUUCCCUUUUCGUUUAAAUUAAUUACGAAAAUGAUUUGAUUUAAUUGGUUUAGAAACUUUAAGAGAAAUGACAAUUAUCUGACUAAGCGAGUAAGGGAGCUCGUAUUCAAACAAUCGAGGAGGGGAGUUGAAGGCUCAAAACCAUCCCUCUUUUUAUUUCUAAGUGAAAUGGUAUUUAAUCGUGAUUAGGUAUUUUGAAUUUUUUUGAAUAAAAAUACUCGAUGUUGGGUCGAAGUUUUAAAUGUGUGUUUGCGGAGAAAUUGAAUUAUACUUAGUGAGUCAAUCAUCUAAUCGAUUAAUUAAUAAUCAAAUAGGUCUCAUUGUAAGAAAGUCCAAGAGUAAGCUAUGUGAGGUUGAUGACGAUGCUAAAAGCCAUCGACUUAUAAAGGUAUUAAAAAUGGGCUCGAUAUUGAACCGAGCGUUGUGUGAUUUUUAAAUGGUUUAAUAUAACAAUUAGGGUGAGCAAUGAGUGAAGGUCACUACGAAAAUAUAACUUAAAAUAUGAGUUAUACAAAGCUAGAAAUUGCACAAGUGAAUUUAAUCAAGCACAUACAAAAUGAUAACUCAAACAAAUUUUACAAAUUAAAUUAAUGAUUAGUUUUAAAUUAACAAGUAAACUAUUAAAAUAAUAAUUAAAUAAAUAAAUAAAUAAAAUGCAUUAUAUAUAUAAAAGUACUUUUGUGAUGAGACGAUUUUGUGGGUUAGAAGUAACAAAACCAACGUAGAGAGUACCCUCCAAAACUAUAAGAAUCUCAGUACCUCUUGGAUGAGUAUGUGGAGGAUUUAGUCCCCUAGGUCCGAAGUCAAUGCGAGCAAGAGAAAUACCAAGAGUGUUUAAUCCUAAUAUCUCAUUAACCGUAACAGGUGUCACUUUUGAGCCAAGUGAAUUUGAUGUGUUUCCUUCUUUCACUGAGAAAAAGAAAUCAUUUGCAGUAGCAAGUUUUGGAUCUUUGCAGAAUUUUCCAUUAAC